rnacentral:rRNA from 1 species
AACGGCCAUACCAUGCUGAAUAUACCGGUUCUCGUUAGAUCACCGAAGUCAAGCAUCAUUGGGCGCGGUCAGUACUUGGGUGGGUGGCCACCUGGGAACACCGCGUUCCGC